rnacentral:rRNA from 1 species
GACGAACGCUGGCGGCGUGCCUAAUACAUGCAAGUUGAGCGCUGAAGGUUGGUACUUGUACCAACUGGAUGAGCAGCGAACGGGUGAGUAACGCGUGGGGAAUCUGCCUUUGAGCGGGGGACAACAUUUGGAAACGAAUGCUAAUACCGCAUAAAAACUUUAAACACAAGUUUUAAGUUUGAAAGAUGCAAUUGCAUCACUCAAAGAUGAUCCCGCGUUGUAUUAGCUAGUUGGUGAGGUAAAGGCUCACCAAGGCGAUGAUACAUAGCCGACCUGAGAGGGUGAUCGGCCACAUUGGGACUGAGAACCGGCCCAAACUCCUACGGGAGGCAGCAGUAGGGAAUCUUCGGCAAUGGACGAAAGUCUGACCGAGCAACGCCGCGUGAGUGAAGAAGGUUUUCGGAUCGUAAAACUCUGUUGGUAGAGAAGAACGUUGGUGAGAGUGGAAAGCUCAUCAAGUGACGGUAACUACACAGAAAGGGACGGCUAACUACGUG